rnacentral:rRNA from 1 species
UACAGAGGGUGCGAGCGUUGUCCGGAAUCACUGGGCGUAAAGGGCGCGUAGGCGGUCUGCUAAGCGUGCGGUGAAAGCCCGGGGCUCAACCCCGGGUCGGCCGUGCGAACUGGUGGACUGGAGCUUGUCAGAGGCAGGCGGAAUUCCGGGUGUAGCGGUGAAAUGCGCAGAUAUCAGGAGGAACACCAAUUGCGAAGGCAGCUCGCUGGGACGUGACUGACGCUGAGACGCGAAAGCGUGGGGAGCAAACAGG